GCAGCAUCAACGCCAGGACCACUUUCAUCUCCGCCAUGGCGAACGCCUGCCCGAUGCAGUUCCUGCAGGCGGGAGUGGGGACUGUGACUGUGCCCAAGACCCGCAUUUGGGUCCCAUCAACCCAGGAACCUGGCCUGGGACCCCCAACUGCACCCAGCUCAGCCUGAGAGAGAGAGAGAAAGACUAAGCGUGCCUGGGACUCCCAUGUGGGCUUGUAUGUCCCGGAGACUGGGCCUGACUCCAGCUCCCAGCUCAGACCAGCAGAUGGAGAAGGGGAUUUUGAGCACUCCGCGGACCCCUCUAGGACCUACUCAUCCCCAUUCUAUGGACGUUUUCCCAUAAACUGUGAAGGAAUGGAGGGAAGGAGAGCUGGAACUGGGACCAUCUGCAACGUCCCCCUUUUUUUAACUCCCGCACCCAUCAUCCCAUCCCUGCCUCAGACACAGGGCGCUCUUACCUGGGCCCUGCGGAGAAAGGAAUAAAAGCCAGAGGUGACCUCCCCUUGCUGUUCUCUGGGUCAAAGCGGAAGGGGUCGUAGACCUGCAGGAUCGCGGUCCUUCAGAAGCUCUUGCACCUCCUGUCGGCAGCGCUCCUGGUAUUCUGGGUGCCUCGCAAGGUUGUACAGGACCCAGGAGAGGCCACUGGCCGUGGUGUCAUGGCCUGAGGAGCAGCCAGAUCAUAGAGAAACCUACCUUGCUCAGCAGAAGCACAUCAAUGAAAUCCAAAGUCUUGG
rnacentral:lncRNA from 1 species